AGGACUAUCAAUUGUGGAGGCUGUGCUCUGAACGUUUGGUCCUCUUGCUUCAGCUUCUCAGAGUGCCAGGUCUACAGGUAUGUGUCACCAUGCCUGGCUCUGAUCCAGCCCCUUGCAGGAGGAUUCCUGUUGGCCCAGGAGCCUCCAUGGGUGUUUCUUACCUUUCUUCAAUGCCGAUGAAAGCGACGAGGAAUUAGUGGCAGAGUUGGAGGAACCCAGCACCUUCCUGGGAGCUCGAGAGGCCACCACUGCAAAGACAAAGUUAGGGAUCCAAGCGGCCUGAGCUGGGCGUGCAGGUCCCGGAGCGGAGCGAGGCAUCCCUCCCUUCACCCAGCACCCCAUGCGGUCCCUGAUCGCUUCACCUUUCCUAUAAGUGCCCGGGACACUGUCUGCUUUAGUCCGCACCAUGUUAAAGCGCGAGGAGACGACGGAAAUGCACUGACUUCCCUGCCAAAGGUGUCUCGCUGGACAAGGACCAGAAAAGGACUCUCCCGCCACCAUUAAUAAGGGGCGCUUUCCCGCGCUCACCGCCUCUCGCGAGCCCUGACCCCCAUUGGUUCCGCGCCUUUCCCUGCAAACCAAUCACAGGGUUCCGUGGUGACAGCGGCCAGGCUCACGGCCGAGCUGUCCAGUCCAUCAACGCGAAGAGCCUUGCGAUUGGCCCCCGCCCCAGGGGGUGGGUCAGGGCCCAUUCUCAACCCAGGAAAUGAGCCCGCUAGCGGAAAAAAAACCUCAGUAGCCUGAGAAUUACGACGCUUCAAAAGCUAUCAUAGUAUGAAAUCCAUGAUUGGGUCCAGGAAGGGAAGCCAAAAAUUAGGCGAACUUUUUGAUCCACAUAAAAAUAAACAGAAUUGAGUGUUUUAAUACUCCUGGCACAAACCCUACCCAUCUCCAUCAUUUAUUCCAAAAUAAUUCUAUGGAGUGGGGAAAAGAAUACUAAUACAAUUUACCUACAGCCUUGGAUGUCUUUAGAGUCGUGUGUGACUAAAGAAAAACUGAGUCAGUUAUAUCAAUAUACACAAUAAUAAAACAUUUUUCUUAGAAAAACAUGUCAAAUGUACUGCAAACUCAACCCUAGCCCAGGCGAACAUAACUAGAAGAGGGAGUCGUAAUUAUUUUCCAUCCCUGUACUGCUAAUUGUGAUUUCCCUAGUAGUGAGUUUCACUCUCAAUUCCCGUAUAAAACUGGGUAGGAUUAACUUGCUAUACGAUAUAUUCUGUAAGUGGCUCAUUUUGAAAGUCAAAACUAGGAGUGAAGGGCCGGGGAUUUAGCUCAGUGGUUUCGCAGCCUGCUGCGAAAGCUCAAGGACCGGAGUUCGAUCCCCGGUACUAAAAAACAAACAAACAAAAAAAACCCCUAGGAGUGAAAGUAUACCACUGGUUCUCUCCGAAGUAUUCCGCUUGUGUUAAAAAAAAAAAAAAAAAAAAAA